rnacentral:lncRNA from 1 species
GGACAUGUUCCAAACCAAAAAGACUUUUUGUGAUAAAUUUGAGUGAGGCUUAAAUGAUUAAAUAGGUGCUCUAGUAGCAGCAUCAGAAGUCCAGAGUCUAGCAGCCAUAACAGCUAAGGCUCAGAAGAUGGAAACGAUUAUUCAAGAAAGAAAUAGAGGGCAAGAUGAGGAAAGCAUGAAGCGGGGUUCUCUAGUCCACCACCUUCGUCAAAUUUCAAGAAACCGAAAGAUAGAAGCUUUUCU